CAGAGAGAUAAUUACAUCCUUCCGAUGUCGUCCAGCGGUUAGGAUAUCUGGCUUUCACCCAGGAGACCCGGGUUCGAUUCCCGGCAUCGGAACUUUUUGUAUUUUGUCGCACAAUUUGAACUUGCCAAACGACAACAACACUUCAAUACGGUGGCUGAAUUAGGUUUUGUUCAGUGGAGCUUCAUUUUUCACUUAAAUGCUAACUAAUUUCUAGGGUUUCUGUUUUUUUAUCGCUUGCAGAAAAAAAUGGUGAAAUGAAGAUUAUCAUCGUGUCCUGGAUGAGGUUAUUUUUCAAUCUCGUAAACCCUAAUACCAAUUUAUAUCGUAUUUGCUGACUUGCUUUGUUCACUGGUUGGUUCACGGAAUGAAAUAGUUAUUCUUUACUUUUUGGUAUGAGUGUUUAAUACACAAAAUCUCGGAAUAGCAAUUCCAUAGAAUAACACUAUUUCAUGAACCAAAUCAAAGAAUAAGCAUUUUAUACGGAAUAGCUAUUUCAUUCCGCAAUUAUUUUAAAUAUGGCCUGUGUUGAGCUCUGGAAUGAUGAUGCUUAGCCAAAUCAGACACGGAUGUGCUCCACAAACGGCAUUGUCUUCAAUGCUUGUGUUAUUUGGUCUCUUUUGUGACCUAGACCAAUCAUUAGAUGCCCUAGUGUUGAAGUGCAUCCUCUGGUGAUAAUUUAGAGAUAGGUUACUGCCUGACCAGAGUUAUAUGUUUAUUCGGUAAAAUACUAUGGUCGACAAAGUUUAAUUUUACUGAUUCCGUCAGUUGUUAGUAGUUAGUGUUAGAUGUUAAAUUAGAGUGAAACCACUUGGCCUGCCCUACUGAGACUCGAAACCAAGACUGAAUGUACUUGGAGAGCCUAGCCACUUGGGCUAGGCCUCACCGGCGUUGAAUUUUUACUUUGCGCAGACGUAAAUGGAAGUGUUAUUAGUGAGAUUGGUUGACAAUAUUGCCUUUUCUUGCGUUUGUAAGGGUUAAUUUAACGUUAAAAAGUAUCUUGCUUAUUAGGAUUGAGGAGGUAGAGAGUACAUUUGGACUAGUGUUCUUCAUAAUCACUUUUGUUGUGUUGCUCUACCUUCAUUGUUGUCUGGCUAUCCUCCCUUGUUUUGAAAUUGCUAAUGUGGGCUAGUUUUCCAGCUAUCUAUUGUGUUUGCUCUUAUUUUUAGAAUUAAAUGAGUGUUGUAAUUCAAUUUUAUUCCUAUUGUUUGGACUUGAUAUUCUGACAUAAGCAAGAUCUGCUCAGGUAUGGUCUUCUGCCUAUAUUAUGGUUAUUUUAAUCGAGGAGACGUGUCUUCUUCCAUUCAAGUGUUCUAAUGAUAUGAAAAGAAUACUAGGAAUCUAAUAAAUAUGUGCACAUAUCUAGUAUCGAGUUAUAUGCAUUCCUUGGGGUAACCUUAGCCAAUCCAUCUUAUUUUUUUCGGAAUGGGCCAUGAAAGGGGAAGAAGGUGCUGGUGGGAGGCAAGCAAAGGGUAUUGCGUGUGGUACGGAUGACAUGGCCAAAGGCGUAGAAGGAGGGACUGUUGGCAUUGGCAAGAGUGGUGCCAACAGAGGUACUGCCCCUGUCAUUUCUGUUGUGGAUGAGUAUAGAACAAAGUAGAAUUUUGAUUUCUAACAAAGUGAUUUAUUUCGUUACAAAUAUCUUUCCUUGUGAAUUUAAUUGCAUUGUCAAUCUUCUUCACAGUUGAUACUGUAAAACACGACACCUCAUUUGUUACCAUGGAAAGAAGCUGGGUUCUUGCGGAAUGAUGUUAACCUUUGCAUUUUCCUAAGAUAGUGUUCAAUUCUUUGUCAUUUUAUAACAAAAUGUAGCAAUGAUGGAGCAGGAAGUUUCAUGCUUUUUGUUUCUAUUUGAGCAAAUGUUCAUUCUUUGAAGGCGUGCUCGAGGUUAAUCAAAAUAUACAGCAUUCGGGACCAGAUAUGAUUGUUGAUUCCUCGGGACCAAGUUUUAGGACAUGAAAUGAAGUAGCAUCCCCCAAGAUUUUUGAACUAAUUAGAGCUGGUACGCUUGGAUUUGCAUUGCUGCAGAGGAGUGAAAAAGAGGAAUACUUGUACAAAUGAUAAUUUUUUUUAAGAUUUGGGCUUAACUGUAACACAAUCUCAAAUGUUUCUUCUAUUUAGUUAUGAAUUAAGUGCAGUAUAUUUAUGAUCUCCUUUUAAUUAUUCACUUUUGCAUUUUCUUUUAA